rnacentral:rRNA from 1 species
AGAGUUUGAUCAUGGCUCAGGAUGAACGCUGGCGGCGUGCCUAAUACAUGCAAGUCGAGCGAAUGGAUUAAGAGCUUGCUCUUAUGAAGUUAGCGGCGGACGGGUGAGUAACACGUGGGUAACCUGCCCAUAAGACUGGGAUAACUCCGGGAAACCGGGGCUAAUACCGGAUAACAUUUUGAACCGCAUGGUUCGAAAUUGAAAGGCGGCUUCGGCUGUCACUUAUGGAUGGACCCGCGUCGCAUUAGCUAGUUGGUGAGGUAACGGCUCACCAAGGCAACGAUGCGUAGCCGACCUGAGAGGGUGAUCGGCCACACUGGGACUGAGACACGGCCCAGACUCCUACGGGAGGCAGCAGUAGGGAAUCUUCCGCAAUGGACGAAAGUCUGACGGAGCAACGCCGCGUGAGUGAUGAAGGCUUUCGGGUCGUAAAACUCUGUUGUUAGGGAAGAACAAGUGCUAGUUGAAUAAGCUGGCACCUUGACGGUACCUAACCAGAAAGCCACGGCUAACUACGUGCCAGCAGCCGCGGUAAUACGUAGUGGCAAGCGUUAUCCGGAAUUAUUGGCGUAAAGCGCGCGCAGUGGUUUCUUAGUCUGAUGUGCUGCCCACGGCUCAACCGUGGAGGGUCAUUGGAAACUGGGAGACUUGAUUGCAGAAGAGGAAAGUGGAAUUCCAUGUGUAGCGGUGAAAUGCGUAGAGAUAUGGAGGAACACCAGUGGCGAAGGCGACUUUCUGGUCUGUAACUGACACUGAGGCGCGAAAGCGUGGGGAGCAAACAGGAUUAGA